rnacentral:lncRNA from 1 species
GUUUGUCGUCAAUACGUAGUCAACUACGUAUAUAUACGUCAGUAUAAGUUCUACUGAUCACGCUGUUGGCGGCAAUUUUUAAUUAAAAGACGAAAUUUUCGUAUCUUUUCAAUUUGGACGCAGGGGUUCAAAUUAGCGGUGGUCCGAGGUCUGCGACCUUCCACUUUUGCAGUCGGACUUUCUACUUGGUUACUAGCUACGCCCGACGGAAAUUGAAAGAAAAACAAUAACUUUGCAAACAUUUUUAC